AAAGGCACAGAUUGUGAAGAGGAGUUUCAACACCCUUCCUCAGUCAGCAGGGAGUCACAGACCCUCAGCUCCACCCCGCAGACCAGCACCUACUGCGCAUGUCCAACAAAAUAGGAGGCCCAGACUGGUGAUCCAGGCUCCCCUUCAGGCUCCAAGGGCAGCAUGUGGUAAGAUCUGUCAGCACUGCAGUAGGGAUCACGGGGACCGACCAUGCUAUCGCCUCAAUAACACCUGUCGCAUAUGUGGUAGUGCCCAGCACUAUGCGAAAGAGUGCUCGAGGAACCAGAAUCAAGGAAGACCUCCUAUUUAGGGCAGGGUUUACAACCUCACACAGUAGGAUGCCGAUGCCGACUCGGACGUGGUACAGGGUAUGUACACUAUCUGUAACCAUAUUGC
rnacentral:lncRNA from 1 species